rnacentral:rRNA from 1 species
AAGGUUACACUGUCUCCUUUUUCUAAUCAGUAAAACUAAUCCUCCCGUGAAGAAGCGGGGAUCCUUAUAUAAGACGAGAAGACCCUAUGGAGCUUUAAACGAAAUAACAUCUACCAACUCACCUAACAAUUUCAGAAAAUUAAUACUAAACUUGGUAUAAUGGUUACUAGUUUUAGGUUGGGGUGACCGCGGAGCAAAAAACAACCUCCGCAUUGAAUGGACUUACACUCCUAAACAAAAAGCCACAACUUUAUGUAUCAACACAUUGACAUCCAUUGACCCAUUAAUUUGAUCAACGAACCAAGUUACCCUAGGGAUAACAGCGCAAUCCAUUUCAAGAGCUCCUAUCG